AGCCCAGAGCCUGAAUCAGUGUGUGUGUUAGUGGAAGCGUCUGGAAAGGCGCGCGAUACAGGGUGACAGCCCCGUACACAAAAAUGCACAUGCUGUGAGCUCGAUGAGUAGGGCGGGACACGUGGUAUCCUGUCUGAAUAUGGGGGGACCAUCCUCCAAGGCUAAAUACUCCUGACUGACCGAUAGUGAACCAGUACCGUGAGGGAAAGGCGAAAAGAACCCCGGCGAGGGGAGUGAAAAAGAACCUGAAACCGUGUACGUACAAGCAGUGGGAGCACAGAGCAAUCUGUGUGACUGCGUACCUUUUGUAUAAUGGGUCAGCGACUUAUAUUCUGUAGCAAGGUUAACCGAAUAGGGGAGCCGAAGGGAAACCGAGUCUUAACCGGGCGUUAAGUUGCAGGGUAUAGACCCGAAACCCGGUGAUCUAGCCAUGGGCAGGUUGAAGGUUGGGUAACACUAACUGGAGGACCGAACCGACUAAUGUUGAAAAAUUAGCGGAUGACUUGUGGCUGGGGGUGAAAGGCCAAUCAAACCGGGAGAUAGCUGGUUCUCCCCGAAAGCUAUUUAGGUAGCGCCUCGUGAAUUCAUCUCCGGGGGUAGAGCACUGUUUCGGCAAGGGGGUCAUCCCGACUUACCAACCCGAUGCAAACUGCGAAUACCGGAGAAUGUUAUCACGGGAGACACACGGCGGGUGCUAACGUCCGUCGUGAAGAGGGAAACAACCCAGACCGCCAGCUAAGGUCCCAAAGUCAUGGUUAAGUGGGAAACGAUGUGGGAAGGCCCAGACAGCCAGGAUGUUGGCUUAGAAGCAGCCAUCAUUUAAAGAAAGCGUAAUAGCUCACUGGUCGAGUCGGCCUGCGCGGAAGAUGUAACGGGGCUAAACCAUGCACCGAAGCUGCGGCAGCGACACUGUGUGUUGUUGGGUAGGGGAGCGUUCUGUAAGCCUGUGAAGGUGUGCUGUGAGGCAUGCUGGAGGUAUCAGAAGUGCGAAUGCUGACAUAAGUAACGAUAAAGCGGGUGAAAAGCCCGCUCGCCGGAAGACCAAGGGUUCCUGUCCAACGUUAAUCGGGGCAGGGUGAGUCGACCCCUAAGGCGAGGCCGAAAGGCGUAGUCGAUGGGAAACAGGUUAAUAUUCCUGUACUUGGUGUUACUGCGAAGGGGGGACGGAGAAGGCUAUGUUGGCCGGGCGACGGUUGUCCCGGUUUAAGCGUGUAGGCUGGUUUUCCAGGCAAAUCCGGAAAAUCAAGGCUGAGGCGUGAUGACGAGGCACUACGGUGCUGAAGCAACAAAUGCCCUGCUUCCAGGAAAAGCCUCUAAGCAUCAGGUAACAUCAAAUCGUACCCCAAACCGACACAGGUGGUCAGGUAGAGAAUACCAAGGCGCUUGAGAGAACUCGGGUGAAGGAACUAGGCAAAAUGGUGCCGUAACUUCGGGAGAAGGCACGCUGAUAUGUAGGUGAAGUCCCUCGCGGAUGGAGCUGAAAUCAGUCGAAGAUACCAGCUGGCUGCAACUGUUUAUUAAAAACACAGCACUGUGCAAACACGAAAGUGGACGUAUACGGUGUGACGCCUGCCCGGUGCCGGAAGGUUAAUUGAUGGGGUCAGCGCAAGCGAAGCUCUUGAUCGAAGCCCCGGUAAACGGCGGCCGUAACUAUAACGGUCCUAAGGUAGCGAAAUUCCUUGUCGGGUAAGUUCCGACCUGCACGAAUGGCGUAAUGAUGGCCAGGCUGUCUCCACCCGAGACUCAGUGAAAUUGAACUCGCUGUGAAGAUGCAGUGUACCCGCGGCAAGACGGAAAGACCCCGUGAACCUUUACUAUAGCUUGACACUGAACAUUGAGCCUUGAUGUGUAGGAUAGGUGGGAGGCUUUGAAGUGUGGACGCCAGUCUGCAUGGAGCCGACCUUGAAAUACCACCCUUUAAUGUUUGAUGUUCUAACGUGGACCCGUGAUCCGGGUUGCGGACAGUGUCUGGUGGGUAGUUUGACUGGGGCGGUCUCCUCCUAAAGAGUAACGGAGGAGCACGAAGGUUGGCUAAUCCUGGUCGGACAUCAGGAGGUUAGUGCAAUGGCAUAAGCCAGCUUGACUGCGAGCGUGACGGCGCGAGCAGGUGCGAAAGCAGGUCAUAGUGAUCCGGUGGUUCUGAAUGGAAGGGCCAUCGCUCAACGGAUAAAAGGUACUCCGGGGAUAACAGGCUGAUACCGCCCAAGAGUUCAUAUCGACGGCGGUGUUUGGCACCUCGAUGUCGGCUCAUCACAUCCUGGGGCUGAAGUAGGUCCCAAGGGUAUGGCUGUUCGCCAUUUAAAGUGGUACGCGAGCUGGGUUUAGAACGUCGUGAGACAGUUCGGUCCCUAUCUGCCGUGGGCGCUGGAGAACUGAGGGGGGCUGCUCCUAGUACGAGAGGACCGGAGUGGACGCAUCACUGGUGUUCGGGUUGUCAUGCCAAUGGCACUGCCCGGUAGCUAAAUGCGGAAGAGAUAAGUGCUGAAAGCAUCUAAGCACGAAACUUGCCCCGAGAUGAGUUCUCCCUGACCCUUUAAGGGUCCUGAAGGAACGUUGAAGACGACGACGUUGAUAGGCCGGGUGUGUAAGCGCAGCGAUGCGUUGAGCUAACCGGUACUAAUGAACCGUGAGGCUUAACCUUACAACGCCGAAGGUGUUU
rnacentral:rRNA from 1 species